rnacentral:rRNA from 1 species
CCCUUAGAUGUUCUGGGCCGCACACGCGCUACACUGAAGGAGGCAGCGUGUACUCCUGGAUCGGAAGAUUUGGGUAACCCGCGAAUCUCCUUCGUGCUAGGGAUUGAGGUUUGCAAUUAUCCUUCAUGAACGAGGAAUUCCCAGUAAGUGCAAGUCAUAAGCUUGCGCUGACUACGUCCCUGCCCUUUGUACACACCGCCCGUCGCUACUACCGAUUGAAUGAUUUAGUGAGGACUUCGGACUGGGACCGAUGCGGCUUUCGGGCUGCGUCGGUAUUCUGGAAAGAUGUCCAAACUGUAUCAUUUAGAGGAAGUAAAAGUCGUAACA